UAACAUCAAACACCAGUUUGGUCUUGGAAGAAGAGAUGGCAACGUCUCCCUUCUGUAAAUCAUUGAGCAGCGGUCCAAGCUAUGCGACGUAGUAAGCACAAAUCUCGUCGAACUGUAGCCUUGUGACUGUUUGCCAUAACCCAAAUAUAUCAUU
rnacentral:misc_RNA from 1 species